rnacentral:misc_RNA from 1 species
GAUGAAGAACGCAGCGAAAUGCGAUAAGUAAUGUGAAUUGCAGAAUUCAGUGAAUCAUCGAGUCUUUGAACGCACAUUGCGCCCCCUGGUAUUCCGGGGGGCAUGCCUGUCCGAGCGUCAUUGCUGCCCUCAAGCACGGCUUGUGUGUUGGGCCUCCGUCCUCCUCCCGGGGGACGGGCCCGAAAGGCAGCGGCGGCACCGCGUCCGGUCCUCGAGCGUAUGGGGCUUCGUCACCCGCUCUUGUAGGCCCGGCCGGCGCUUGCCGACACAUCAAUCUUUUUUCCAGGUUGACCUCGGAUCAGGUAGGGAUACCCGCUGAACUUAAGCAUAUCAAUACGCGGAGGA